rnacentral:rRNA from 1 species
AUGGGCCGCCGCCGCCGCCAGCCCUCCUCGCCGUCGCCGGCGGCAGAGCAUCCGCUGGAAGACGACGACCUACUGCGCGAGAUCCUCCUCCGCCUACCCCCACAGCCGCCCUACCUCCUGCGCGCCUCCCUCGUCGCCAAGCGCUGGCGACACAUCGCCAUCGACCCCAAGUUCCUCCACCGCUUCCGCACCGACCACGGGAAGCCUCCCCUCCUUGGGGACUUCUCCCUACAAAUCAACGGAAAACUCUCGUUCAGAUCCACCCUGGACCUGCCCUACCGCAUCCCUCCCGACCACUUCUCCCUACAAGUCAACGGCCGCGAGCCAUGGAGGUUGGUCGACUGCCGCCACCGACGCGUGCUCCUCAUCAACAGCGAGAUGCGUCAGGUCAUUGUGUGGGACCCCUUGACUGGCGACCGCUCCCUCUUGUCCGCUCCGCCGGCGUUUGACGACAUGCACACUGCGGCGGUGCUCUGCGCUGCCGGCGAGCAGGGCCACGCUCAUGGUGCCUGCCACUCGAGCCCAUUUAAAGUGGUCGUGGUAGACAGCUGCGAGCACGGGGAUGAAACCGUCGUCUUCGUGAGUGUUUACUCAUCAGAGACUGGCGUAUGGAGUGAUCUCCUCUCAACACCGCUUGCAUCUAUGGGUAUUGCUGUUGGUAAUUGCAGCACACUUGUUGGUAACACCUUUCACUGGUUGCUUCUGAUGAGUAACAACAUACUUGAGUUUGAUUUGGAUAGACAGACGCUAGCUGUGAUCAAUAGGCCACCUGGUGUUCGUUCGGAUGACAGUGCUUGGAUCAUCCAGGCAGAUGAUGGCGGUGUUGGCUUCUCUGCUUUGUCGUGCGCCCACUGCCAGUAUGUCUACUGCUACCACCAACCCUGUUUCCAAAUGUGGGAUAGGAAGGCCAAUUGCUAUGGUGUUGCCGUAUGGGUGUUGAGGAAAUCCAUUGGACUGCAGAAGCUACUUGGGUUGGGGUUUAAGAUUGAGAGGAACUGGUCACAUAUAGUGCGUUAUGCUGAGCAUGUUCAUGCUUUAUUUUUAUGGGUGCACUCAUCUCUCUUCAUCGUUCAGCUUGAGUCAAUGCAGCCCAAGGAGCUUUUUAAAAGUGAUCCUAUGUACGCCUAUUAUCCUUUCACAAGUUUCUAUGAUGAAGGUAUCAGUGGUUUGAAGCAGAAGUAG